rnacentral:rRNA from 1 species
AACGAACGCUGGCGGCAGGCUUAACACAUGCAAGUCGAACGCCCCGCAAGGGGAGUGGCAGACGGGUGAGUAACGCGUGGGAACGUACCUUUCAGUUCGGAAUAACUCAGGGAAACUUGUGCUAAUACUGGAUACGCCCGCAAGGGGAAAGAUUUAUCGCUGAAAGAUCGGCCCGCGUUGGAUUAGCUAGUUGGUGGGGUAAAGGCCUACCAAGGCGACGAUCCAUAGCUGGUCUGAGAGGAUGAUCAGCCACACUGGGACUGAGACACGGCCCAGACUCCUACGGGAGGCAGCAGUGGGGAAUAUUGGACAAUGGGCGCAAGCCUGAUCCAGCCAUGCCGCGUGAGCGAUGAAGGCCUUAGGGUUGUAAAGCUCUUUCAGUGGGGAAGAUAAUGACUGUACCCACAGAAGAAGCCCCGGCUAACUCCGUGCCAGCAGCCGCGGUAAUGUACAGUGU